UACGUAGGGGGCAAGCGUUGUCCGGAAUCAUUGGGCGUAAAGAGCGCGUAGGCGGCCCUGUAAGUCCGCUGUGAAAGUCAAGGGCUCAACCCUUGAAUGCCGGUGGAUACUGCAGGGCUAGAGUCCGGAAGAGGCGAGUGGAAUUCCUGGUGUAGCGGUGAAAUGCGCAGAUAUCAGGAGGAACACCUAUGGCGAAGGCAGCUCGCUGGGACGUUACUGACGCUGAGACGCGAAAGCGUGGGGAGCAAACAGG
rnacentral:rRNA from 1 species